CCGUGGCAAAGCCCUGAAAGCCUCGAAAGAUCCGUAGUUCAUCUCAAGGGAAAGUCUAUUUCUCAUUCAGGUAACAUUUCGGAAUGGGUGCUCGCACACCGGCAGCUGGAGCUCCUCCACGGGGUGACUAAUGUUCCCAGGAUUCUUCCACCUUUUUGGCUUUGGCAUCACCUAAGACCUUGGCGGACUUACUCUGCUACCAAAGUGGGGAAGGAGAAAGAGUGAAAAUGGCACACUCACUUCUUUUAGAGAAGAAUUCCGACGUGGCAUCUAUCCUGUCUGCUCUGGUUUAGCCGAGGAAGAUUAGUCAUGGGUCCACAGCUGGGUGCAAGAUAGACUGGGUCUAGCGCCCGGUGGGACAGUGUCCUCCCGUGAGGACACCACAUCAUAUAAAAGAAGCCAUGAAAGUUGGGUGCACAGUAGGCCAUGGCUGCUCCCAUGGGAGAUGCGCUAGGGGAAAAGAGGGCCGUGAUUCCGGGUAAAAGGAGGCAUGACCUUGAGUCCAGACCUCAGGGCAGGCUCGCCUGAUGAUGCUGAGACUCCGUGGGAGGGUGAGUGAGGAUUGAUGAAGUGUCCACACGGGAAAGCAGAGGAGACAGCUUUCAAGAAAACCUCGAGUCAGGAAAUAAUUUUGCCAAUUCUAAGGAGUCGAGAUGAUCCCGACAGCGUGGAGACGGGAAAGCAUUGAGGAGACGCUUCAAUAGGGACUGAAUGUGUAGGGCUUUGUAAAAGGCUCUGUAAAGAUUUGGGAUUUUAUCUUUAGGAGAACGGGAAAGGUUUUGCACAUAAGCCUGGCAAAAUCAGAUUUUUUUUUUUGUCUACAUUGUAUUUAUAUGACCACUUCCUCCAGACGGAAUCAGAGGAGGCCUAAAAAUAACAGCUAGGAGUUCCCAUCCUGGCACAGCAAACUGAAUCCGACUAGGAACCAUGAGGUUGCAGGUUGGAUCCCUGGCCUCUCUCAGAGGGUUGAUGAUCCGGCAUUGCUGUGAGCUGUGGUGUAGGUCGCAGUGGCAACAGCCCCAAUUCAACCCCUAGCCUGGGAAGCUCCAUAUGCCACAGGUGUGGCCCUAAAGAGCAAAAAUAAAAAAAUAAAAAAUAAAAGCAUAACAGGUAAUACUUGCUGAGCACCUGUUAAAUGCCAGUCACUGCUCCGAGUCCUCCAUCAGGGAGUUUGCUUAGUUCAUUCAAGACUCUGUCAAGGGGUUUCCUUUAUUAGGUCCAUUUUACAGAUGAGGACACUGAGGCAGGUUAACUAAUUAGCCCUGGGCAUCAAGUAAAUGGUGG
rnacentral:lncRNA from 1 species